rnacentral:rRNA from 1 species
UACGUAGGGGGCGAGCGUUGUCCGGAUUUAUUGGGCGUAAAGAGCGUGUAGGCGGCCAGGUAGGUCUGCUGUGAAAACUCGAGGCUCAACCUCGAGACGUCGGCGGAAACCAUCUGGCUAGAGUCCGGAAGAGGAGAGUGGAAUUCCUGGUGUAGCGGUGAAAUGCGCAGAUAUCAGGAGGAACACCAAUGGCGAAGGCAGCUCGCUGGGACGUUACUGACGCUGAGACGCGAAAGCGUGGGGAGCGAACAGG